GUGAGGUGAAGUUUCCUCUAGGAAUCUUAA
rnacentral:piRNA from 1 species